AUCCGGGUCUUUUAGUAAUGGCGGCUACUUGCAGCAUGGAGAGUAGCAGAAAGAAACACUAAAGAACACAGGUUGUCAAGUCUCUACUGGAUAUCAAAGACCUGCAAAAACAUAUUCUUCGCUCCAAAAAUCAGGAAAGAGCUAGACCCUCUAUAGUUGAUGAUAUGGUAUGUGGUGAUGUGCUAAUAACUUGCGAUUGGGCUAUGAAGUUCCUUCCACGUAAAUUUAGGGAAGCCAAGAUGGACUGGUAUGCUAAAAGUGGCAUCAAUUGGCAUGUUUCUGUUUCGCUGAUCAAAACAAUGGAUACAUUCCAAACAACAACACACAUCCAUUUGUUUACUGGACAGACACCCCAAGACUCUGCAUUUACAGUUGAAGUCUUAUAUGAUGUUGUCAGGGAUUUGAAGCAAACUCUUCCAUGCCUAAAGAAAGUACACUUCUUUAGUGACAAUGCUGGAUGUUACAAGAGCUCAUUAAGUCUUACAACAUUGAAAGUAGAACUUGGGAAUCAGCUAGCCUAGCCACCUACAAUUUUUGUGAAGCUCAGAAUGGGAAAGGUAAAAUUAUAAAAUGGACAGACCUCAAUCCCACGAGGAACCAUGUACACCUGAAGAAUGUUUCAAGUUGGACUGAAAUUAAUGAUCUUCUUUAUUCUAAUGGUAAUUUUGUUUUAACUCACACCUCAGAAUAUAUUAGCUUUGUCUGUAUUUUGUCACUUUUACUUUUAAAAAACCCACUAAACAGAUUUAUAAUUCAGAGUUGUUUCUCAAAUAAAAAAUGUGUCAAUUAUGAUUACUAAUUGAUAAGCAUGUCCUCUUGUCCCCUGCCACAAUAUGAUGCGGGACAAAGAAAUGCAAGUGUCUUCCUUAACAAGUCAACAUAUCUCAAUGGA